ACCCUCGUGGCUUAGAGGUUAAAGCGUCUGCCUGCAAGGCAGGAGACCUGGGUUCGAUCCCUGGGUAGGGAA
rnacentral:tRNA from 1 species